UAGGAGCAUUUUAAUGUGGUAUUUUAAUAGUUAAUUCCUCACAUUUUGCUUAGUUAAUUCCUUAACGAAUCGAUUUUUAACUCAAUUUCUAUUUUCUUAGGUACAUUGGAGUAAAUGAUGGUGAAAUGAGCAUUAGGUCCACACUUACCUAUAAAUGAUGGAGAAAAAAUGGAAAUGUACUAAAAGGUCAAUUUUACACAUUUUCCUACUCCGGCUAGGAGAAACCAAGCCAAGCAAGGAAGAAGGAGCGGCCGCCUGACCAAAUGAACUCCAAAUGAGCUGAAACUUUCCAGAUCCAUUCUAGAUAUCCUAAGGAUCGUUUCUUAUGAAGAGUGCCAGAGCUAGAAUUGAGCGGAAGGCCUUCAAACAGUUAGCCCAAUUUCCUGCAGAAGCAAAACUGGAAAACUGGACCCGUAAGGAGUCCAGCAGAGAUUCUGGCCCAAAGGCAUGGAAAUAAAUUCUGAAAUUUUACCAAAAUGAUCUACACUCAUGGUAGAUCAUUUCAUAUGAAGAAGUCAAGAGCCAAAAAUGAAUUCCUGUUGGAGAAAUAAUUGAAGGAAUAAAGGGGCAGAAAUUGACCUAAAACCAGCUCAAUAUUCACAUGUUCAUGUUUCCUACCCACAUGAAGAAAGCUAGAUGCUUUUCUCUUUUUCCUUGGAUAUAUUUUUCUGCUCCAAUAGAUCAUCAUCACUUCCAUACUUCUGCACAUUCAUGCCUUGCUUUCAUUUCAUCAUUACUCCAUCUUUUCCAUAUUUUACAAACCACUUUCAUUAUUUUUCUUCCAUUUAUCAUUUCACUCUUCUUUUUCUUCCCUAUAUAAACACCUUCUCCUCUCACUCUAAACACAUUCCUUCAUCCAUUUCAUCUUCUUUGUCUCUCCAUUUCCAUUCCAUUUUUCUCUUCAUUCUCUAGUUGCAAAAUUCUGCGUUUUCAAGUAAGAAGAAGAAGAAGAAGAAGGAGCCGGGAAUGUCAUAUCCUCCAUCGUCCACCUUGAAGGCUUGCUUCCAAGAUUCAAGAUUUCAACGUUUCAAGCACUCCAUCUCCAUCUCCAACUCACGGUGUGUACCCUCAAUCCCCGGAAUAGAACGAUCCCUAUUUGCUUAUACUACUAACGAUGUUUUCAGGGUUAAAUUAUGCGCUUGCUUUGAGCGUAUCAAUUUUUGGCGCCGUUGCCGGGGAAUUGAAAAAUCACUUGUUUUUGUUUUUAAUUAUUGUAUAUAAACUGUUUGAUACUUAGUUUAAAUUAACUAGGUUGUUUUUUUUUGUUGAAUACGAGUUUAAUUGUGAGUUGUAAAUUAAAGAAGGAAUAGGUGAAGUCGUGUUUAUUAAUAUUGGCCUAAACCCCUUAUUGGUACCUAGUUCAGGUCCCUUAAGGUUGAGGGCGGCCUUUAUUAACAUUCAUUGAACUGUCUAACACACUUAGAACCUUUUACAUCCUAGUAAGAAUAUCCUAUGUGAGAUGGUGUCUAGGAAGGGGAUAACGUUCAUGACGGGUUUUUGAAUCCAGAAGUGCUUAUAAAUGGGCUUAGCUCAUGCCAAAAUGGAUUUUUCCUCUCGUGUUCACCCUCCCCUACCUGGCCAUUUCAGUAAGGUUGCCCAACGGAUGUAGGAGGGACUUUGUGUCUAGACGACUAUACUUGGGCCGCACGUCCACUUGAUUUACCGCUUGGAAUUAGAUUUGAUAUCAAUAAUGUUUAUAACAAAAGAAAUACUUGUGCAUACUCUUUACGUGUAAAUUAUUUUGUUGUUUCACACUUUAUACUUGUAAAAAUACUUUUUACGUUUUAUACUCACUUGUGUACUUAACUUGUGUCUUAUGUACAAAAUACUUGUUAAUUAUACUUGUAGUUUGUAAUUCAUAGUUACUUGUUUAUUUUUUUUGUAUUUCUUUGUUAAUAUUAAGUUACUAACUUUAUUUAAUGUAGGUACCGUCUGGCUGCAAGACGUUAAACUCAAGCGCUGCUUGGGAGGCAACCCAAUUCAGAAGUAGCUGCUUGGGAGGCAACCCAAUUCAGAAUAUAAUCAGAUUUGCUUUCUCUUUCCCUAUUUCUUUUUAUUUUUUAAUUUUUUCUCUUUUGUUUUUAUUUUAGGAUUUAUUUUCAUAAAUGUCUUCUAUCUAUGCUUAUUUGUUUCAUUGCAUGCUUAUGAUUGAUUACAUUGAGGACAAUGCAAUAUUUAAGUGUGGGGGAAGGGAUUUAUAUUUGAGUCUUUUAUUUUGAGUCAUAUAUAUUGGAAAAUACAAAUCGAAAAAUGUCAAAAAUUAAAAAAAUUUCGUUGAUUUUAUUUAUUGAGUCUUAGUCCUUUGUUUUUAUUUUUGAGUCAUAGGAUGCCCUUUUAACUGUCUAGGAUGAGCUUAUAUCUCUGAAAUUAAGGCUAAAAGAGGAUUACAAGAUUGGGAUAAUAUUUGAUGAUAUUCUUUGGUUAAUUAUGAUUUAUGAAAAGCAUAUGAAUGUGUAGUAGAUAUGGUGCAUGCGUAACUUUGGUACAGAAUAUGAACAUGUGGAUGAUAAGUUAUGAUUCAUAAUAACCCUUGUGAGAAUUUGAGCCAUGUGCCCUUUCUUUGUUGAGUGAUUAAUGGAAAAAAAAAAAAAAUGAAUUAUACUCUUAUUUUCUUGGCGAUGAUUCUGUUGAUCUCAUUAUUCUUUCAUCUUGAUUGAUUACAUGCCAUAGAUUAAGUUUAAUGGACUAGAGAAUGCUAGAAUUCGCUCUUGUGCUUGUUGAGACGUUUUGUCAAUACAUGGCCCUGAUUCUGGAAAGGAUAGAGGCACCUAGGAACUACCACCAUUGCCAAAUAAGCCUGUGUCCCUAUUUGUGCCCGUCGUGGGACCCCCUUAGAUAAACCCCUUUGAGCCUACAUUAAGCCUUUUCUUUCAUCACCCUAAAAAUCCUUAACCCCUGAACCUUAGUAUAGUUAUAAUCCUACCCUUUGUUCUAAAAACUUAGUGGAGCUAUCUUUUGAGACUUACUACAUGAUGGUGACAAGGAUUGAGAAGAGGUGAAAAUUCAAGUGUGGGGGUAGACUUGUCCAUGAAAAAAAAAAAAAAAUAUGUAUGUAUUGCCGUGAAAAAAAAAAAAAAAAAAGAAUGUUUAUGGAUUUUAGUCCCCCAUACUUGGUGAGUUUGGAGAUUGUUUUGAAUUGAAGGCCCACUAUCGAAAAAUUUGGUCUUUGUCCAAUUCACUAGAAUCAAAGGGAGUUUAGAAUGAAGAUGAAGACAUUAAGCCCUUUUAUAAAGCCUCAUGGGUAUGACGUUAUGCCUUGGUGGAUUUCUAGAAGUCUCUCUACAUCAACAUGAGCUCUGCUAGGUUUUUAGGAUACUUUGUUAAAAAUUCCUUACCCUUUUAUUUCUUAAAACCUUGAGCCUUAGCCCCAUUACAACCUUUGAGAAGACCUUCUUGAUCCUUAAGAUGGGACAGCCUUUGAUGUGGAGAUGAGUUACAAGAGUUGAACAUAUGGCUUGGGUCCAUUCGUGCAAGUAGUUGAUAUCUUUCAUGAGAUCUUUUAAAAAAAAAUUAUAUUCACAAAGUGCUUUUUGUUUCUUAUAUAUGUGAGCUAUUUGAUUGCCUCAAAAUAUUUUCUCUCACAUAUAAUUGAGUGAUUAUAAGCUUUUAAGCAUGAGCCUUGAAUCUGAGAGAAGAAAGAGUGAUAUAUCCAUGUGAGGUUUGAAUCAUGACUUGUUUGAAAUAUGUUGAGCUCCACUCACCACCAUUGUUUACUCCCAAGUCUUACAUGCUUAUAUGUGGAUUAUAUUUUGUAAUUAGCUCUUGAAUAUCUUGAUGAUGUGAUUCUUGGUUAAGUGCUAAUCUUGGUGACUUGAAAGUAUGAGAUUUCUGAGACAAUAUGUUAAAGGGCAAUAGAGGUCUUUGUGAUGUCAACAUCAUGGUCUUUGUCUUUGAAUUUACUCUUUUAUGUGUGACGUUUUUUUUUCUUUGUGUUUUGCUUUGUGUUUUACGUUUUUGGUUUCUUUGAGUCUUUGUGUUUUUGUUUCCAUACUUAGUCAUUUUUUUCGUUGGUUUCUUUGUUUUGUGUCAUAGUCUUUUUGGUUUGUUAGUUUUUGAUUUUGCUAAGGGACUAACAAAAGCUAAGUGUGGGGGAAUUUGAUAGGAGCAUUUUAAUGUGGUAUUUUAAUAGUUAAUUCCUCACAUUUUGCUUAGUUAAUUCCUUAACGAAUCGAUUUUUAACUCAAUUUCUAUUUUCUUAGGUACAUUGGAGUAAAUGAUGGUGAAAUGAGCAUUAGGUCCACACUUACCUAUAAAUGAUGGAGAAAAAAUGGAAAUGUACUAAAAGGUCAAUUUUACACAUUUUCCUACUCCGGCUAGGAGAAACCAAGCCAAGCAAGGAAGAAGGAGCGGCCGCCUGACCAAAUGAACUCCAAAUAAGCUGAAACUUUCCAGAUCCAUUCUAGAUAUCCUAAGGAUCGUUUCUUAUGAAGAGUGCCAGAGCUAGAAUUGAGCGGAAGGCCUUCAAACAGUUAGCCCAAUUUCCUGCAGAAGCAAAACUGGAAAACUGGACCCGUAAGGAGUCCAGCAGAGAUUCUGGCCCAAAGGCAUGGAAAUAAAUUCUGAAAUUUUACCAAAAUGAUCUACACUCAUGGUAGAUCAUUUCAUAUGAAGAAGUCAAGAGCCAAAAAUGAAUUCCUGUUGGAGAAAUAAUUGAAGGAAUAAAGGGGCAGAAAUUGACCUAAAACCAGCUCAAUAUUCACAUGUUCAUGUUUCCUACCCACAUGAAGAAAGCUAGAUGCUUUUCUCUUUUUCCUUGGAUAUAUUUUUCUGCUCCAAUAGAUCAUCAUCACUUCCAUACUUCUGCACAUUCAUGCCUUGCUUUCAUUUCAUCAUUACUCCAUCUUUUCCAUAUUUUACAAACCACUUUCAUUAUUUUUCUUCCAUUUAUCAUUUCACUCUUCUUUUUCUUCCCUAUAUAAACACCUUCUCCUCUCACUCUAAACACAUUCCUUCAUCCAUUUCAUCUUCUUUGUCUCUCCAUUUCCAUUCCAUUUUUCUCUUCAUUCUCUAGUUACAAAAUUCUGCGUUUUCAAGUAAGAAGAAGAAGAAGAAGAAGGAGCCGGGAAUGUCAUAUCCUCCAUCGUCCACCUUGAAGGCUUGCUUCCAAGAUUCAAGAUUUCAACGUUUCAAGCACUCCAUCUCCAUCUCCAACUCACGGUGUAAUUCAUUCUUUUUCCUUAUUUAAUUUCGUAGGAAUUUGUUUCUAGUUAACAAUAACAUUAAGGGCAAAGUUUAAGCCCAAUUUCUAUGUUUGAAUAAAAAUUGUGAUUUCUUUAUGUUGA